UGGGGAAUUUUGGACAAUGGGGGCAACCCUGAUCCAGCCAUGCCGCGUGAGUGAAGAAGGCCUUCGGGUUGUAAAGCUCUUUCGGCCGGGAAGAAAUCGGCGACUCUAACAUAGUCGCUGGAUGACGGUACCGGACUAAGAAGCACCGGCUAACUACGUGCCAGCAGCCGCGGUAAUACGUAGGGUGCGAGCGUUAAUCGGAAUUACUGGGCGUAAAGCGUGCGCAGGCGGUUUUGUAAGACAGAUGUGAAAUCCCCGGGCUUAACCUGGGAACUGCGUUUGUGACUGCAAGGCUAGAGUACGGCAGAGGGGGGUGGAAUUCCCCGUGUCGCAGUGGAAUGCGUAGAGCUGUGGAGGAACACCGAUGGCGAAGGCAGCCCCCUGGGCCUGUACUGACGCUCAUGCACGAAAGCGUGGGG
rnacentral:rRNA from 1 species